rnacentral:rRNA from 1 species
UAGGUGGCAAGCGUUGUCCGGAUUUACUGGGUGUAAAGGGCGUGUAGGCGGGAUGGUAAGUCAGAUGUGAAAUACCGGGGCUCAACUCCGGGGCUGCAUUUGAAACUGCCGUUCUUGAGUGUCGGAGAGGAAAGCGGAAUUCCUAGUGUAGCGGUGAAAUGCGUAGAUAUUAGGAGGAACACCAGUGGCGAAGGCGGCUUUCUGGACGAUAACUGACGCUGAGGCGCGAAAGCGUGGGGAGCAAA